GCCCGGGUAGUAUAGUCCGGUUCAGUAUGGGGGACUGUCACUCCUCCGACCCGGGUUCGAAUCCCGGCCCGGGCG
rnacentral:tRNA from 1 species